GAUGUAAUGUAAUUCCAUAUUUAAAAGAUCCUGGGUGCUCUAAGUACAGCGGACUAUGGGGGGGUGGGGCACGAGUGGAAGCUGGAAGGCCAGUAAGAGACUGCGGUGUUUGUCCCCGGAAAGAGUGGCAGCGGCAUGGAUUUACAUGGUAGCAGGUGGAUCCAUCUGUUCACCCAUCCCUUCUUUCUGCCCUCCCUUCCUCAUCCCUUCAUCCAUCCAUUUAUUAACCGAACACUUAUUAAGUGUCUAUGGAGAGCCAGGCACAAUGCUGGGUUUAUAAGGACGAAUUAAACGUGGUUCCCGACCGCAAGGAGCUCACAGAACGGCAGGUCCCUGAGCCUGCAAUGUAACGGUAAUGAAUGUCCCAGUGCAAAGUACCCCGCGGGCUCAUGGGACGUGAUUCACCGAGCCCGGGAUGUUGGAAAAGGCCUCGUGGAGGACAUGUCGGUGUUUGAGAUGUUGGAAGGUCUGAGAUGUUGGAGGGGCAGCUCGGGGAAGGGUGAGGAGGCAGCACGAGUGAGUGUCCUGCAAAUAUGUGGCUGUCCAGGUUGGUGGGAUCAACGACCAGGUGCGUGGAGGGACACCACGGGAAAGGGGUUCUGGGCCAGCUUGGGGAGGGGUGGGGACACAUGCCUGUGACUUCCUGCUCAGCUCCGCCUGCCCCUACCGGAGCGGAGUAAUUUAAUUAAGUACCAGCCCUUAAACAAGAUGCAGCUGUUUAGCAGAUGUUGCCUUUCACCCCAGAUGGAGGCACAUCUUGGCGACGGGCACAGCGUUUCCAGGGCGCCUAAUUUGUAAGGCUGCGGAGAGGAAAGAAAUUCAAGAUGCGGCCGUUAUUAUUUAAUGGCCAUCGUUCAUGACACACACACACACACACACACACACCCAGCACCACAGCCACAUGGCCACCAUUCCUGUUGGCUCGGAAUAGAGACAGAGGCAGGCCCCGGGGAGGGUGAUUUGCUGGUUCUCAGAGAACAAGAGAAGAAAAGCGGAGGAAAAGGUCACCAAUCUGCAGAACCCCCAAGAACGUUUAUACGAGUGGGAAGCAGCGACUUAUCCCUCAUUUUGCGCAAAAGGGGCACAAUCGGUAACCACGAUCUAUUGAACUCUAACUCAGGAGCCAGGCGCUGUGCCAGGUGCUUACACGUACCUUGUCUCUGCCUCUCUAAUCCUCCCAACAGCCACGCUCGGUCCUACCUCAGGGCCUUUGCCCUUGCUUUCUCCCCUGGCCAAGGAACAGUCUUCUUUCAGAGGCCCACAGGGCUAAUUCCCCAAAGACCUUCAGGCCUCACAAUAAAUGUUGCCUCCCCAUAGAGUCUUUCCCUGACCAGCCUACAUAAAAGGCACCCUUCUCCAUAAGUCUCCACCCCUUACCUUACUUGCUUGCUUUUCCUUUUCCUUCAUUACCAUAUAUAUAUAUAUAUAUAUAUAUAUAUAUAUAUAUAUAUCUUGUGUCUGUUUCUCUCCUCUAGAGUUUAAAUUUCCAAGGGCAAGGAUUUUUGUCUGUUUUAUUCCUUGCCAGCUCUCCAAUAUGCACAAGAAUGCCUGACUCAAGACAGAAUCCUAUAAAUAUUUGUUCAAUGGGUAGAGAAAUGAUCAAUGGAUCUCACCGAACAUAUAAAAAGAUUGUCAGGGAGACAAAAUUACUCUCCCAAGAGUUACACAUCCGGCAAGGGGUGAGUUGGGAUUUGAGUUUGGGUCUGUCCCUUUCCUAGGGACUUUUCCUUCUCCGUAGCACUUAUCACCACUUAUGUAUUAUUUCUGGGGCUGUGUUUGGUGUCUUUCUCCUCUCCCACCGGAAUGGGGGCUCCAGUGAGAACAGAGUUCAUGUGUUUUGCUCAUAGUUGUCUCCCCAGCACCCAGACAGAGCUCCCCAGCACCCAGGAAGCAGCUCAUAAAUAUACACUGAGCAACACUUUAUUCUCACAAGCAAUCCUGCAAAGUAUGUUUCCUCUGUGCUAUUUUACACAUGGGGACAUUGAGGCUCAACCAGAGAAGUGAUUUGCCUUGCUUAAGGUCAUUUGGCUAAUGAAUAGAGAGCUGGGAUUUGAACCCAGGCCUCCUGAGCUCAUUGGUCAUGGAGAAGGGGACCCCCAUUUAACGCUUGCUGGUUCGACCCACCCAAAGGCAACAGCUGCUUGGCCGAAAGCUCCACUCACAACCUACCAGGGAAGGCAUUUCCCCCUCAAGGUCAGCAGUGUCAGGGCCGAUGUGAAACUCACCCUUAAUGCACAACUCCCCAGUUUCGUCCAUUUAAGUGAAAACUUUGAUGUUAUUUUAACCCAAAUCCCCCGUUGACUUCAAUGGAAGCUUUGAAUCCACGAGGAAGGUCAGACAGUGUUUUUGGAGGUAACAUGGGCACCCAAUGGAAAUCAUAUUAGCAUACUCAUUAUCAUCAGGGCCCUUUGAAUGUGUUUUUUAGCUGCUCCCUUAAAGUUGACUUGGUGACAAUGGAUCCUUUCUGUUCAGGAAUCACUGGGCCAGAGUGGAGCUGUGGUCGGCUCCUGUGUGCUUUUCUGUGCUUUUCAAAUGAUGACAGUGAACCCAUGUUGCAUAAGGGAAAUGUUCAAACUACGGAAAAGUGCAGAGAAUCGUACGAUGACCCCACUACCUGGUACCAGCCUCAUCAAUCCGCAACACGGAGUCCCUCCGGUGUGAGGGGGUUUAAGAAUCCCUAAUUUCAGCAGGACAUGUGGCAGCCCAGAAUGAAGAUCACACUUCCCUGCUUUCUUUCCGAAUCCUAGUCAUGCUGGACUAUGUGAUGAAUUAAAGAUGGCUACUGAUUCUUUGGUCCUUCUCCCUUCAAGAGGAAGAGUUUGUUUGGACUUCCUCUCCGCUUAAAUCUGGGCUGGCCUGUGACUUAUUGGACCAAUAGAAUACAGUGGAAAUGAUGCUCUGCCAAUUCCGGACUUUGUCCUUAAGGCAACUGGCAGAUUCUGCCAUGGUCUCUUGGAUCCAUGGCUGCCAAGGAAAAGGUCAAACCACUCUGCUGGAGAGACCCCCCCUGGAGAAGCCCUAAGACCUUACGGAAAGGAAUUAGGGACCCAGCUGAGCUCAGCACUGCAGUCUUCCCAAACCAUCUUGAUCCUCCAGAUGAAACCAAUCAUCAGCUGAACGCGGCCAAGUGACUAGUCAACGCCCAUGGAUCAGAAGGACCGCCCAGCUGAGUCCUGGCCGAAUUUCAGGCCCGCAAAACUGUAGAAAAUAAUAAACAUGAUUAUUGUUUGGGGAGUGUCUGUUGGGUACCAAUACGUAACCAGAACAGACCAUGAGAUAGAAGGUAUUUGUUGAGGAUGCUGUAACAAUUACACCAUCUGGAGGCCUGGCCGCCUCCGGAUAUUUUGUCCUACACGAAAAGUAGACUCUGUUUGUUUAAGCUUUGAUGAUACCUUGGGUCGUGGCUCAUGGCCUCAGUUUCCCCACGAUUAUUCAUUGGAGCAUUAACGCCUGCCCUGUUACCUCCUUUUGCAUGUAAUACAAACAGUGCAUAUCCAAAAAGACCAUGGGGCGUGCCCAAGUCGUUAUGAUACAUUUCAUGUGUCCGUAAUCGGAUACGAACUUGUCAGGGGGCCAACUGCGAUGGGUUUUGGAAUCAGAUAUGUUGGGACUGGAAGCUCAACUCUGCUACUUUCUAAUGUGAAAAAUCGGACCAGCCACUGAAUCUCUGUGAGCUUUGUUUCCUCAUCAAUAAAAAACAGACGAUGCCUA